rnacentral:lncRNA from 1 species
GGAAGUGCCUCGCGACGCGGGGCCGCCACCGCCGCCGGGCCGAGGGAGGGCCCGGCAACCGCCGCCUGCGCGCCGGCUGCCCCUCGGCUCCUGGGAGCCGCGGCGCUACGGGCCUGCCGAGCACUCGGGCGGGCGCCGAGCAGGCUGGGCCCCGGCGCAGUGGCCUAGCCUGGACCGCAAGGCCGAAGCCGCCUCCGGGCCGCGUCCCGGUGUUUCGGGUUGUGUAACCUUGGCCAAAAUGCUUAAGCUUUUUUCCUGGCUGCCAAAUGGGGCCGAUCGUCUGACCUGCUGCCUCCGGAACUUGAGGGAUCAGAUCAAAUAACCCUUUCCUGGCGCUCGUCUGCCGCUGUGAAUGAAUCACGGGCUCCUGUAAUCACCGUUAGGAGAGAUUGUUAAACUCGUACAGGGUUGGAUGUUUUAAAGUUACUGAAUAUUUACUGGACCCCUACUGUUCAAUCAAGACAUGCUAAGUUAGCUUGCCAUUCUUGUUCAUUUAUGUGUUUACUUAACUAUUUCUGGGUCUCCUCUUCCCAGUCAUAAAUAUCUCUUGGAGUGUAAGCUCCUCGGAGCAGAGAUCCUGUUUCCGUAUUUCCUGUACCUAGAACAGUGCCAGAUCCGUAGUAGACACUGAAACAAAAAAUCUUUAAAAAAAAAAAAAUAUACGAAUGUGGCACCACCAUUUACACAGGCCACUAAGCCAAAAAUCUCGAACUUGUCAGAUUGUCUCUUCUCAGCCAUCAGCAGUCAACAAGUUCUAGCAUUUGGUCUCUUAAAAGUGGUUCAAGAGUUUAUUUUUCCUCUCCUUCCUCUGCCAGUACCAACCAGUCUUCCGUAUCACUAUGUAUUGCAAGAGUCUCACAAGAAGAUAUCCAUCACUGACUGAUCUUCCUCCCGUUUAACAUCCCCAACAGGUGCCAGGGUGAUGUUUUUUUUAUUCUAAAAAGAAACCAGAUUAUAUCGCUCACUCCCUUGCUUAAAACAGUUCUUCAAUGUUAGGUAAAUAAAUCAUGGAGUCACCACGAGGGCGUUCAUCUGCCAGGCACUAUUCUGAACGAUAUUGGCUCAUUAAAUUCUCACAGAAACCCUAUGCAGCAGGUACGGUGAAAAUGUUCCUGUUACAGAUGAGGUAACUGAAGCACAGAGAGCUUGAGUGGCUUGCUGAAACACCAGACCCACUCAGUCUGGCUCCAUAAUAGGUCUUUUUGCUGGUAAUGAUUUACCAACUAUACAGCCACUUUAAAAAAAGGAAAUAGGGCCCUUGUGACUGGACCUCAUGCCAAACAACUCGUUACAAAAAGAGCUAGGGUUCCAGACUGCGCCGAAGCUUCAUGAGACCUCUCCUUGUCUGCAUGGACGAGUGGCCAACUCUGGAGCCCAGGCUGUUGCUUCCCAGUCUGGUGGUGAAUCCUCCAUAGUCUGGUGAGUGUAAAUACAUAUAUAUAUCUUUUCCCUUCUCCCUUCCCAUUGCAAUUUGCUUAUUAUAUCAUUUGCUUAUAUCUGCACUGCCAUUUGGGAUAAAGCUUGUUUACCCUUAAAGGUAUUGUGUGUGUGUCUCCUCCCGCGCGCAUUUCCCACACAGAACACCUAAGAACCUAUUUUUUAUGAUUUUUACGAGAAGUGAAUUCCAAGUUGUGCCUCAGAAUUCAGAAUAUAUCUUUCAACCUCCUACUCAUCCCCUCACCACCCUGGUGAACACAGUGUCUGGCCAGCAGGAAUGAAUGAAGAAGACUAUUUUAUGUUCUUAAUAACUUGCUUGGAAAUGAACAGAGCACAAUUUAUCAAACCAAAGCAAAUAUUUAUACAGGCAGAUCCCUUAAAAUUGAGGAUUAAUGCUUAGGAAGAAUUUUUUAGAAUUUUCCAAAUUAACCACUUGUCUUUCUCAGAAAUAAAUCUGUUACUGAUGCUUCCUCCACCAACCAGCUGCAAAACCACACACUAUUCUUUGAAGGAGGAACACAGAAAACCAACUUACUUCCUGGGGCAUUUGGGAGAGGAAUCUAAAAAUCCUAGUGAUAUGGCAAUGACUAGAACCUUUUUUUUUUUUGUAACAACAAAGCUAAAAGGGGAUGUGUAACUUAGCUUGACUUGUAAAAAUAUUCGUAGAAGUCAUCUAUAUUUUACCACUUUGUGUAACUAAGGCAGAGCAUUAGAGAUUAUUCACAUCAUUAAAUAUGUCCAGUUAAAUUAUUAGAUUACAACACCAACCUCUUGUUCAUAGUCUCUCAGUCUUCAGCUGGGCACGGGGGCUCACGCCUGUAAUGCCACCACUUUGGGAUGCCGAGACGGGCGGAUCACUUGAGGUCAGGAGUUUGAGACCAACCUGGGCAACAUGGUGAAACCCCGUCUCUACUAAAAAUACAAAAAUUAGCUAGGCGUGGUGGCAGGUGCCUAUAAUCCCAGCCACUCGGGAGGCUGAGGCGGGAGAAUCACUGGAACCCAAGAGGUGGAAAUUGCAGUAAGCCAAGAUGGCACCACUGCACUCCAGCCUGGGUGACAAGAGCAAAACUCUUGUCUCAAAAAAAAAAAAAAAAAAAUAGUCUCUCAGUCUUCAUACUUUGUUGCUUAGUUGGAUUAUCUGCUCCUAGGUUUUAAUAUAAGAUGAAAUAAAAGUGCUGGCCUAGGAAUUGGAGGCCAAUUUACCUUAGGGGCAAAGGCAAUGGUGGUGAAUAUACCCAACAGCUUCACUUUCUAUGGAGCCAGCUUGUAAAAUCUUGGGCAAGGAUGGUGGCAGCAGAGCUGUCUGCCUAAGCAUCAUGUAGAAAAUUUUUUAAUGGUUUCUUUGGACCCUAGCUUGCAGUGUCAUUUCUGCUUCUCAUUGUAUUGGAAAUCCAUGGUUUUGUUACAUAAUGUACUCCUAAAAAUGUAUACACAUGUGUUGAGUAUGUGGAAGUUGAAUAUAUUUAUGUUAUAAAUGAGCAGUUCUGUUUCUGGAAAAUGAAAAUUUUCACCUCAUCACUACAGACAUUCUUUGAUAACACAGUCCCAGUGUUUCAUCCAGAUUAUUUCAUUUUCUUCUUUUACAUAUAACCAACCAUUUUGGAUGUUAAAGGAACAACCAGUGAGGGCUUAAGAUCUGCUGCUUUUGACUUGGCACUCCUGAUCAGUUCCAUCCGUGUCUCAAGUGUAUCACAUUCACGAGACAAGGCUUCUCAUCAGCAAUUUCAAUUUUAUGUUUUCUACUUAUUUUUAUAUAAGAAUACAAUGCAACAAAAUAUUCAUAUAUUGCAC